GCUUUUAAAUGUGAAUAAUUAAUAUUUGUGCUGUGUUGUCUUCUUUAUGAUGCAAAGGAAAUGAGGAUUCAGUCUGUUUGUAAUGAUGAACAUGUUUCUGACUGCUCUGCUCUUCUUUAACAGGGAGUCUCAGCUCUGAAGAACUGCAUUCUGGGUAUGAAGAUGCUGAUGAGUUUCUCUCAGCAAAAGAGUUCAAGACUGCAUCAGAAGAGAUGGUGAAGGAAAUCACACCGGGAUACUAUGAUGAUGUCAUCACUGUUGGACUGAAACCAGAUCGUGAGACAGUUGUCACUCUCUUACUCUACAACAGCAUAGAAUAUAAUAUAAUUAAUAAUAAUAAUAAUAAUAAUAAUCCUUUAAAAUCAAGAUUGUUACAGAUAAUAUUUUAAACUACUGCCUUAAUUGUUUUUUUGGUUUACAUUUAAAUUGACUCAUAUUUUUGUGUGUAGUGGACGCACCAGAUAAU